rnacentral:rRNA from 1 species
GAUGAACGCUGGCGGCGUGCCUAAUACAUGCAAGUCGAGCGAACAGACGCUGAGCUUGCUCCUCUGACGUUAGCGGCGCACGGGUGAGUCACACGUGUAUAACCUACCUAUCAGACUGGGAUCACUUCGGGAAACCGGCGCUAAUACCGUAUAAUAUAUUGCACCGCAUUGUUCAAUAGUGAAAGACGGUGUUGCUGUCACUUAUAGCUGCAUCCGGGCCGCAUUAGCUAGUUGGUAAGGUAAUGGCUUACCACGGCGACGAGGCGUAGCCGAACUGAGAGGGUGAUAGGCCACACGGGAACUGAGACACGGACCAGAGUCCUACGGGAGGCCGCAGUCGGGAACGUUACGCAAUGGGCGAAAGCAUGACGGAGCAGCGCGGCGUGAGUGAUGAAGGCGCUCGGAGCGUAAAACCCUGUUAUGAGUGAAGAACAAAUGUGUAAGGAACUAUGCACGUCGUGACGGUACCUAAUCAGAAAGCAACGGCUAACUACGUG